CACGCUGAAGUGUGCUCUACCGUGAGUGAAGCUGUUUGAUUAUACCUAAAAAAUAGUCUAUGUAGAAUUGAUUUUUAGCAAAAUAUGAACGUGAUUUUUUAUGAUUCCAAAAUAAAAAGAUGCUAUUGUGACAUCAUCUCAUGCUGCUUGCCUGGUAGCAAGGGAGGGUGAGAUGGACAAGAUGAACAACUUUCCCUGGAUGCCAAAGAAGGGGUUUUGAAUUGUCAAAACAUCUCAUCCAUUUUGCCCAAGUAAUAUCUUCAGGACCAAACAGGAACUCCCAUUGAAAAUGAUAAUGCAAAGAACCAUGUGGUACUUUUGUGUAAGAAGUUUCCAUCGUUUCAGUGCUGUUGCCAGAUCUUCAUUACCUUCAGGUGAGACACCACCAACUUCUCAAUUUCAGUGUCAGUUUUUAUUUAAAAUGUAUUGGAAAUUAUCUGAGAACAUCAACAGAAUAAAUGUUUUUGUAUGUUAUUGUUAUUUUGUCUUAAUGUCUCACUAUAUGUUGAUUUUAUGAGUUAACCAGAUGUCUCCAUCAUGGGAUGUAUAUACAUGCCAUGCCCAAUAUGAAUUUAGUUUAUUAAUUGUUUUUACACAUACAUGGCUCCACAAGUACCAAAUCAUGAAUUAGCCAAUUGCUAGUGUAGCAGCCACAAUCCACAACCAACAGGUCCAACAGCCUUGUCCUCACUUUCUCACCAGCAUAGAGGUUAAUAGCAUAUAAAAAAGAAAAAAAAUAUCCACUCAUAAUUUAUGAUGUUGGAUUUCAAC